AUUGAACGCUGGCGGCAUGCCUAACACAUGCAAGUCGAACGGUUUUGGAGCUUGCUCCAAGAUAGUGGCGGACGGGUGAGUAACGCGUAGGAAUCUGCCUUGUAGAGGGGGACAACCCGGGGAAACUCGGGCUAAUACCGCAUAAUAAUCGAGAGAUGAAAGGGUGGGACCUUAGGGCCACUCGCUAUAAGAUGAGCCUGCGUUGGAUUAGCUAGUCGGUGGGGUAAAGGCCUACCAAGGCGACGAUCCAUAACUGGUCUGAGAGGAUGACCAGUCACACGGGGACUGAGAAACGGCCCAGACGCCUACGGGAGGCAGCAGUGGGGAAUAUUGGACAAUGGGGGCAACCCUGAUCCAGCACGGCCGCGUGUGUGAAGAAGGACUGCGGGUUGUAAAGCACUUUUAGCGAUGAGGAAGAGGUUAAGUCGAAUAGGCUUAGCUUUUGACGUUAGUCGCAGAAGAAGCACCGGCUAACUCUGUGCCAGCAGCCGCCGCGG
rnacentral:rRNA from 1 species